rnacentral:rRNA from 1 species
UAGUCAAUGCUCGCAAGAGUGAACUAGCUAACUGAAAUCAUAUAUGUGUCAUAUGUGAUAAAAUAAGGGAAAAUAAUGAUAUUACCUUAUUAUUAGUGUUGUCCAAAACUGGUGCCAGAAGACUCGGUAAGGCCAGAGACGCGAACGUUAGUCGUCCUAAUCAGGCGUAAAGGGUUUGUAGGCUGCUUUAAAAGUCUUAUUUUUAAUAUAGCUAAAAUAAAGAUAAGAUCAAUUAAAGCUAGAAUCAAAUAGAGGGUAAACCAAAUAAUACUUAGAGUAGGGCCGAUAUCCAUAAAUACUAGGUGGAAUACUAAAGGUGAAAGCUUUUUAUCUACUAAUGAUUGACGCUGAGAAACGAAGGUGAGGAAAGGAAACAGGAUUAGAUACCCACAUACCCCUCUCUGUCAACGAUGAAUGGUGGCUUGCUAAUUGAAUAAAACAUUAAAAAGUUUAAUGUAAUUAUAAUAAAAAAUUGGUAGCGAUGUUAACACGAUAACCAUUCCGCCUUGUGAGUACGACUGCAAAGUUGAAAACA